rnacentral:lncRNA from 1 species
UUAAGAUUUAGAAAGAUUUGAAAAAUUGAUAGUCUCAAAACAACCUAUCAAUUUAUAACCAAUCAUAAUAGGUUGGUUAUAAAGUAAAGAAGAAUUUAUAAGUGCAGCAACAUGAGAGGUUGUCCAAACACGUUAGCGGUGUCUCGAAGAACAUUGAAUGCUCAUGGUUACAUAAGGAAGGUGAACAUCCUAGAAUACCAUGCAAAUACUUGAACCCCAUGAAGACAACUACCGGAAAGAUGAAUUCGAGAGCCUUUGCAGAAUGGUAGCAUAAGGGCAACAAGCGUGUUGAGUGUUGGUGUACAUAUGGAAUACUUU